rnacentral:rRNA from 1 species
AUGAGGUUUUUGAUCUGGCUCAGGACGAACGCUGGCGGCGUGCCUAAUACAUGCAAGUAGAACGCUGAAGGAGGAGCUUGCUUCUCUGGAUGAGUUGCGAACGGGUGAGUAACGCGUAGGUAACCUGCCUGGUAGCGGGGGAUAACUAUUGGAAACGAUAGCUAAUACCGCAUAACAGUAGAUGUUGCAUGACAUUUGCUUAAAAGGUGCAAUUGCAUCACUACCAGAUGGACCUGCGUUGUAUUAGCUAGUUGGUGGGGUAACGGCUCACCAAGGCGACGAUACAUAGCCGACCUGAGAGGGUGAUCGGCCACACUGGGACUGAGACACGGCCCAGACUCCUACGGGAGGCAGCAGUAGGGAAUCUUCGGCAAUGGACGGAAGUCUGACCGAGCAACGCCGCGUGAGUGAAGAAGGUUUUCGGAUCGUAAAGCUCUGUUGUAAGAGAAGAACGAGUGUGAGAGUGGAAAGUUCACACUGUGACGGUAUCUUACCAGAAAGGACGGCUAACUACUCAGAC